rnacentral:misc_RNA from 1 species
CUGAGUACUACACUCUCUACCCUUUGUGAACUAUUAUACCUGUUGCUUCGGCGGCGCCCGCGAGGGUGCCCGCCGGUCUCAUCAGAAUCUCUGUUGUCGAACCCGACGAUACUUCUGAGUGUUCUUAGCGAACUGUCA